GUACAUAACAGAAACAAUGAAUUUAGAAACAAAUGUUUGUAUUAUUACUUAAUUAAAAGGAAAAUAUUACAGAGAUUAAAUCCCUAUAAUUCCAGAGCUAAGCUCCUCAGAGAAGAGUGGUUCUCUCUCUGCCCAAAACCUUUCGGUUCCUAACCGAAAAGAUUCUCAAUAAUCCCUCUCUUUCCCUUACCUCAUAAAACUUCAUUAUGCUCUUUAUUACAAUAAUAGCCAUUUUCCUAUAUCACUCAUACUUGGUCUCUAUCAAUACCCAACCCUUCAAAACAACCUUGUCCACAAGGUUGGACAUGAUUCCUAUUACUCUUCAUGCUGCUAGGUGAUCCUUCAAUUCACUCGAGAAACACAGGUCUGGAUGACUCCUGACUCGUACAAUAAUGGCCCUUGAUUAUUAGACAUGUUCACACACCAUUUCAACAUCAAUUUUAGAAUGGUAUGAUAAUAAUUAGAGCUUAUGACUUGUGCGAGUUUUUUCGUAUAUUAAGACACGUUAACGCCAUUUUCGGUUGUGGUACUAUAUUGUGAUAAUAAUUUGGAGUUGCCUGAUUUCAUAACAAUUUAUUUACUAUUGGGCUCUAAGUGAUUA
rnacentral:lncRNA from 1 species